UAGGGAAUCUUCCACAAUGGACGAAAAGGUCUGAUGGAGCAACGCCGCGUGAGUGAAGAAGGUUUUCGGAUCGUAAAGCUCUGUUGUUGGUGAAGAAGGAUAGAGGCAGUAACUGGUCUUUAUUUGACGGUAAUCAACCAGAAAGUCACGGCUAACUACGUGCCAGCAGCCGCGGUAAUACGUAGGUGGCAAGCGUUGUCCGGAUUUAUUGGGCGUAAAGCGAGCGCAGGCGGAAUGAUAAGUCUGAUGUGAAAGCCCACGGCUCAACCGUGGAACUGCAUCGGAAACUGUCAUUCUUGAGUGCAGAAGAGGAGAGUGGAACUCCAUGUGUAGCGGUGGAAUGCGUAGAUAUAUGGAAGAACACCAGUGGCGAAGGCGGCUCUCUGGUCUGCAACUGACGCUGAGGCUCGAAAGCAUGGGUAGCGAACAGGAUUAGAUACCCUGGUAGUCCAUGCCGUAAACGA
rnacentral:rRNA from 1 species